AGUUCUAUUUUGUUCAAUUAUAUAACCUAUAUUAUUGCUGCUUGAUUUGUUAUUUUUAAUUUAAAUCUAAUUGAAAUAUAAGAUCAAUUUUGUGCAUAAGCUGUUAGUUUUGAUACUUGUAGGUUACCACCAACUUUUGUUAUUUUUAUUGAAAUGAUUUAGACGAGGCUGGGCGAUAGUGCUACCCAUUCAGAAGCUGUUAGUUUUUGCUGCUUUGCUCAAUCUUCCUUUUCAUCUUCUCCAUGUAUGGCUGCUCUUCCUUUUGUCACUCCCACUUAUCCGCUUGCUUCUCUCUACAGUACCAGAAAACUCCAGAACUCGCCCACCCACGCUGCGAAGUUGAAUGAGAGUGCUAGGAACUUUCAAAUCUCGUAUAAAUCUUACCUCACCCGGAUAUCUUCUCUAUGCAAAGAAGGCGACCUUCGAGCAGCUGUGGACCUAGUUUCUAAUUUGGAAUUGCAGGGUAUCACAAUUGGACCUGACGUAUAUGGAGAACUUCUUCAGGGCUGCGUUUACGAGAGAGCUCUUUCGUUGGGUCAGCAAAUCCACGGUCGAAUUCUCAAGAAUGGUGAGUUCAUUGCAAAGAAUGAGUACAUCGAAACCAAAUUGGUGAUUUUCUAUUCAAAAUGCGACGAGUCAGAGAUCGCCAACCGUUUGUUUCGCAAGCUGCGGGUACAGAACGAGUUUUCUUGGGCUGCUAUUAUGGGAUUAAAAUGUAGAAUCGGCUUUAACGAAGAAGCUUUAUUGUGUUUUUGUGAGAUGCACGAAAAUGGGCUAUUCCUGGACAAUUUUGUUAUUCCAAUUGCUUUGAAGGCUUCUGGCUCUCUGCAGUGGAUUGGGUUUGGCAAAGCAAUCCAUGGCUACGCAGUCAAGAUGGGUCUAGGUGGGUGUAUCUUUGUUGCUAGUAGUCUUCUGGAUAUGUACGGUAAAUGUGGGGUAUGUGGAGAUGCAAAGAAGGUGUUUGAUAAAAUUCCUGAGAAGAAUAUAGUAGCUUGGAAUUCGAUGAUUGUUGAUUUUACCCAUAAUGGACUGUAUGAGGAAGCAAUUGAAACGUUUUAUGACAUGAGGGUGGAAGGUGUUGAACCUACUCAAGUGACUCUAUCAAGUUUUCUUUCAGCUUCAGCUAAUUUAAGUCUGAUCAAUGAGGGUAAACAAGGUCACGCCCUAGCAGUGUUAUCUGGACUGGAACUAACCAACAUAUUGGGUAGUUCGCUUAUAAAUUUUUAUUCCAAGAUUGGUUUGGUUGAGGACGCUGAACUGGUUUUCGGUGAAAUGUUGGAGAAAGAUGUAGUGACAUGGAAUUUGCUGGUCUCUGGUUAUGUACAUAAUGGGCUGGUUGAUCGGGCACUUGGUUUAUGUCGCGUAAUGCAAUCGGAAAAUUUGAGGUUUGAUUCUGUGACCCUUGCUUCAAUAAUGGCUGCUGCUGCUGACUCGAGAAAUUUGAAACUAGGGAAGGAAGGACAUUCUUUUUGUGUUAGAAACAACCUUGAAUCUGAUGUUGCUGUUGCAAGUAGCAUAGUAGAUACGUAUGCCAAAUGUGGGAAAUUGGAAUGUGCAAGACGUGUUUUUCACUUAACUAUAAAGAGAGAUCUUAUAAUGUGGAAUACUCUGUUGGCUGCCUAUGCAGAGCAGGGUUGGAGUGGUGAGACAUUAAAAUUGUUUUAUCAGAUGCAGUUAGAAGGUCUGCCACCAAAUUUGAUAUCCUGGAACUCUGUGAUUUUGGGUCUCUUGAAUAAAGGUGAAGUUAGUAAGGCUAAAGACAUAUUCUUGGAGAUGCAGUCUCUUGGUGUCUGUCCUAAUUUAGUUACUUGGACCACUCUCAUAUCUGGACUCGCACAGAAUGGUCUUGGUGAUGAAGCAUUCCUUACAUUCCAAUCAAUGCAAGAAGCUGGCAUUAAACCCAACAGUUUGAGUAUUAACUCGCUACUUUCAGCUUGCACAACUAUGGCGUCUCUGCGACAUGGAAGAGCAAUUCAUGGUUACAUCACAAGACGUGAACUUUCACUAUCAACACCGGUCUUAUGCUCCUUGGUGAACAUGUAUGCCAAAUGUGGUAGCAUAAAUCAAGCGAAGAGGAUUUUUGAUAUGAUAUUGAAAAAGGAGUUGCCCAUCUAUAAUGCAAUGAUCUCUGGCUAUGCACUACAUGGUCAAGCAGUGGAAGCUCUUUCACUCUUUAGACGUCUAAAAGAGGAAUGUAUAAAACCUGAUGAAAUAACCUUUACUUGUAUUCUUUCUGCAUGCAGUCAUGCUGGACUUGUGACAGAAGGUUUAGAGCUUUUCAUUGAUAUGGUUUCUAAUCACAAAAUAGUAGCACAAGCAGAGCAUUAUGGGUGUCUUGUUAGUAUUCUGUCUAGGUGUCAUAACUUGGACGAAGCUUUAAGACUUAUUCUAGCGAUGCCUUUUGAGCCUGAUGCAUUUAUAUUUGGAUCUUUACUUGCUGCAUGCAGAGAGCAUCCAGACGUUGAACUCAAAGAACGCUUGUUCGAACGCUUGUUGAAAUUGGAGCCAGAUAAUUCAGGAAAUUAUGUGGCACUGUCAAAUGCAUAUUCUGCUGCUGGAAUGUGGGACGAGGCAUCAAAGGUGAGAGAUCUGAUGAAAGAAAGGGGUCUAAAGAAGACUCCUGGGCAUAGCUUGAUUCAAAUUGGAAAUGAAACACAUGUAUUUUUUGCUGGAGAUAAGUCACACUCCAAGACAAAGGGAAUUUACAAGAUGUUGGCCCUCCUUAGAAUAGAAAUGCAAGUCACUAGAUGUAUACCUGUGAUUAGUUAAGCUGCUAUCUUACAUUUCCAUUCUUGAGGAUGAGGAUGUCAUAUCUGUACAGGUUGAUGCAUGUGCUUUUUAAUUAGCACAGAGGAAAUAGUGAUUGUUCAAAUGAUUAGUGGCCUUCUCUGACUAUGUUGAGGCCACAGGGACUUGAAGACAGUUACAAAACAUCGUUUACCCUGGCUUAAAGAAGAGUACUCUGGGUUUGGAAUGUUAUUCCUUUUGGACGGCUCGAAAUGCUACCUAGUUGAGGAAUCUACUAAUUCGAUAAGAGUAUUGCACUGCACAAGCGCCUGUUAUGUGAGAGAUUUGAGUCCUUCGGGUUUGUUUUUAGCUAUGACAAGAAUCUAGGAACAAGUAGAUUAACCAAUUGCACAUCUGAGUUCAUCUUGGACUAAAUUUGAGCUGAUUAGCAACUAUGGAAUUCAUAAACAUCAUGAUGCAGUGCUCGAGAAAUCCAUUUAUCAUUUUCUAUAUUGAAUUGCAUUGCUGAGAACCAGUGGUGCCAAGUUGUGCAGGCUUGUGUACGCAAGCUGUACGAGUUGCUUUCACGUCAAACUCAGGUUUUUGGUCUUUUGUAAAGCCCGUGAAUGAUUUGAUUCUCUUACUGUAUAUCGUUCAGUUACCAUUAGCAAUUGGCCUGUCUACUAGAAUCACACCAACUUUGCUUGCUCUCUACUGUGAAUAUACCCAACCAUAUGAGUUGGAAUGUUCUUAACUUAUUUUCUGCGCAACUUCUAUAUGGUGUGGGAAUAUUCUCGUCAAGAUUUGCACAUCAAAUUCUUCAAAUACAACACCAAGAUAUUACACCCUACCGGACUUGGUUGUAUGGUUUUUGAGAAUUGGAGACAUGCAACCAAAUUUCAGUUCCCGAAUUGUCAUCACACCGGCAGAUUACAGGAACUGGCACUAUGAAAAGAUCUCAGCACAAAACAUCAGUGUUGUUGCUGUUGUCAGGUUAGUACCUGUGAACAUCUGUUUUCUGGUUCUCAUUUUCAUGUUCCUUGUUCAACUAUUCCAGGUCGGGCUAAUACACUCAGGUUUUAAGAACAGCCAAGUUUUGAUAUCAGUAAUCUAAUCUUUAGUGCCGGACCACCUAUACAAUAUUCCCAAAUGGAUUUUUCUUUAUCCCUCUCUCUCCCUCCUCCUUUUCUGUACACAGAGAUUUACAAAUCUUUAUCAUCAACAUAAACACACAAAUGCUCCUUAGCUUUGUUGUAGUAUUUAUAGUUUUAGUUGAAUUUCUAACUUCCAAUUGAAGGCAUGCACUCAUCCUCAUCCGCAUCCGGAAGAAAUGGAAGAAUUUUGAAGCAUCCUAUGCUGUAACGAGUAACAACCAAAUAAAAUCUUACCCUUUUGUUUUGGUGAUUCGUGCUAUCCAAGGAAAGUGAAAUGAUGAAGAACAACGCCUUUUCACAUAUUGUUCAGUGGGCAUCAACGAGCUAUUAUUAUCCACCUUAUUUUGUUCGACAGCAGAGACUGGGAGACCGUGCUACUUUAGAGAAAGACAUUCCUUACUCUCGUCGGUAUGUCUCUCUCUCUCUCUCUCUCUCUUAUACAAUCUAAUUCACAUUGCUUUCAUCGAAGUAGUAACUCUGUGGGAUUCUUUCAUCUUUGCUACAUGCACAUGGGCAUUGAUUUGAUUGCAUAAAGUUAAAGUGAGUGUCAUUAAUGUAUGCAUAACCUUUAUUUAAACACAAUUAAGAGUUAAAGAUAUGCUCUGAACUCUCUUACACCUGGUGGAAGUUGAAUAGCCUCUAUCUAUUUGCUGAUAAUUUUUAAUCAGUGUCAAUUCAAAUUGUUAGGAUCGGAAACCAUAUGGUGUAAAGUAUUAAAAAGGCUGUGACUGUUCAUUUAGAGGAGUGUAUCAAAUUCAGUCAAAUGAUUUGUUCAUGAAUUAAUUAGCUGAAAAGAGAACAGUCGAAGUCGAAUACCGAAAAAAAGGGUGUUUUAAGAAACAUCAUUAAGGCUUUGCAUGGAUUCCAUUAAAAAAAAAAAGGUGCAAUCAAAUCUUCACCAACUAGUUGUUGGUUGCUCUUCUUCCCCUUUAUUUCAUUAGCUUCUAAUAUUAUCGCCUUUUUAUAAUUCUUAGGUCUUCCCUUUUUCCUCUAUCUUUGGUGGCUCUACUCAUUGAAAUUAUUGCUAAUGGUAUGGCGCAUGGCCCAAAUCUUUAUACUGUUUGGGAAUAAUUAAAUGAACCCUAAAAGGUUAAAGUAUCAUUUGGGGGUAUGUAUUUUCUUUUUUU